rnacentral:rRNA from 1 species
CAGUGAAAUUGAACUCGCUGUGAAGAUGCAGUGUACCCGCGGCAAGACGGAAAGACCCCGUGAACCUUUACUAUAGCUUGACACUGAACAUUGAGCCUUGAUGUGUAGGAUAGGUGGGAGGCUUUGAAGUGUGGACGCCAGUCUGCAUGGAGCCGACCUUGAAAUACCACCCUUUAAUGUUUGAUGUUCUAACGUUGACCCGUAAUCCGGGUUGCGGACAGUGUCUGGUGGGUAGUUUGACUGGGGCGGUCUCCUCCUAAAGAGUAACGGAGGAGCACGAAGGUUGGCUAAUCCUGGUCGGACAUCAGGAGGUUAGUGCAAUGGCAUAAGCCAGCUUGACUGCGAGCGUGACGGCGCGAGCAGGUGCGAAAGCAGGUCAUAGUGAUCCGGUGGUUCUGAAUGGAAGGGCCAUCGCUCAACGGAUAAAAGGUACUCCGGGGAUAACAGGCUGAUACCGCCCAAGAGUUCAUAUCGACGGCGGUGUUUGGCACCUCGAUGUCGGCUCAUCACAUCCUGGGGCUGAAGUAGGUCCCAAGGGUAUGGCUGUUCGCCAUUUAAAGUGGUACGCGAGCUGGGUUUAGAACGUCGUGAGACAGUUCGGUCCCUAUCUGCCGUGGGCGCUGGAGAACUGAGGGGGGCUGCUCCUAGUACGAGAGGACCGGAGUGGACGCAUCACUGGUGUUCGGGUUGUCAUGCCAAUGGCA